rnacentral:lncRNA from 1 species
UCACCUCAAAGAUACAAAUCGAGAUCUAGGAGGCAAUCAGAUCAGUGUUUCAAAUUUAGCCCUUGUUGGUGCAUUUAUGACUAAACCGGAAGCUGGGUCACCUGUCACCAAGGUAUUUUAUUUCCUCUUAUAGAGAAAUUUUACAGUUUUCAGCAUGACAUUACUAAAGUGUAAUUAUGAGUGUUUCUACAUGUUAGUCUGAUUACGAUAGGCAGAAAUUAUCAACAGAUCCCUUCAUAGAAAGGAAAAUGGAGUUUUUGAUUGAAAGCGUGGAUGAUCUCUCAAUGGAACAUUAAAAGUUCUAUUUUUUCUAUCACAGUCUGUCACGUCAACAAGCCUAGCAAGAAACAUGGCUUCAAAAGUGAAGGGCUGAAAUAAUGGCCCAUGUUAAGCAUAGAAGUUGGGGGGUAUUGGUACUAGAGAUAUUAGAAGUGCUAAUCUUAUGUUGCUAGCAAAAUGGAUGUGGAAACUUAAAGACAGGCCUACGACUUUAUGGGUUAAGGUGGUGGU